AAUAAUAGCAUUAAGGCAAUUAACUACGUUCAAGAAAGGGUAUAGGAAUUAAAUAUUCAUUCCCUCAUUUCAUACAAGAACAUACAACAUCAAAAGAGGAAAAAAGAAAUGUACAGUUGAUGUUUGUCAUGGCAACAUUGGAAAGUCCAGAAGUUGUGAAACCACUAGAAUUUGAAUGACAGAUAAAAGCAGAAUGUUUCCAACAACGUCU
rnacentral:lncRNA from 1 species